AUGGGAUGGAGCUGGAUCAUCCUCUUCCUGGUGACAGCAGCCACAGGUGUCCACUCACAGGUCCAGCUGCAGCAGCCUGGGGCUCAGCUGGGUAGGCCUGGGUCCUCAAUGAAGUUGUCCUGCAAGGCUUCAGGAUACACCUUCACUAGAUACUACUCUAUUACUUGGGUGAAGCAUAAGCCUGGACAGGUCAUGGAGUGGAUUGGAAAGAUUUAUCCUGGAGAUGGUGAUGCUACCUACAAUGAGAGGUUCCAGGGCAAGGCCACACUGACUGUAGACACAUCCUCCAGCACAGCGUAUAUGGAGAUGAGCAGCCUGACAUCUGAGGACUCUGCAGUCUAUUACUGUGCAAGACAAGAACACUGUGUUGCAACCACAUCCUGA